rnacentral:rRNA from 1 species
GCUAUCUGCAGUCGGACGGGAUUUGGGAGCUUGCUCCUAAUGAGAGUGGCGCACGGGUGCGUAACACGUAUGUAACCUACCUUAGUCAGGGGGAUAGCCUCUCGAAAGAGAGAUUAAGACCGCAUAACAUUAUGAUAUGGCAUCGUAUUAUAAUCAAAUAUUUAUAGGACUAAGAUGGGCAUGCGCAACAUUAGCUAGUUGGUGUGGUAACGGCAUACCAAGGCGACGAUGUUUAGGGGAUCUGAGAGGAUGACCCCCCACACUGGUACUGAGACACGGACCAGACUCCUACGGGAGGCAGCAGUAAGGAAUAUUGGUCAAUGGACGGAAGUCUGAACCAGCCAUGCCGCGUGCAGGAAGACGGCCCUACGGGUUGUAAACUGCUUUUGCAGGGGAAUAAACCUCGAUACGUGUAUCGAGUUGAAUGUACCUUGAGAAUAAGGAUCGGCUAACUCCGUGCCAGCAGCCGCGGUAAUACGGAGGAUCCAAGCGUUAUCCGGAUUUAUUGGGUUUAAAGGGUGCGUAGGCGGCUUUUUAAGUCAGGGGUGAAAGACGGUAGCUCAACUAUCGCAGUGCCCUUGAUACUGAAGAGCUUGAAUGUACUUGAGGUAGGCGGAAUGUGACAAGUAGCGGUGAAAUGCAUAGAUAUGUCACAGAACACCAAUUGCGAAGGCAGCUUACUAAAGUAUGAUUGACGCUGAGGCACGAAAGCGUGGGGAUCAAACAGGAUUAGAUACCCUGGUAGUUCACGCCCUAAACGAUGAACACUCGAUGUUGGCGAUAUACGGUCAGCGUCUAAGCGAAAGCGUUAAGUGUUCCACCUGGGGAGUACGCCCGCAAGGGUGAAACUC